rnacentral:rRNA from 1 species
AAGACCUUGCGCUUUUGGAGCGGCCGAUGUCUGAUUAGCUAGUUGGUGGGGUAAUGGCCUACCAAAGCUUCGAUCAGUAGCUGGUCUGAGAGGACGGCCAGCCACACUGGGACUGAGACACGGCCCAGACUCCUACGGGAGGCAGCAGUGGGGAAUUUUGGACAAUGGGCGCAAGCCUGAUCCAGCCAUGCCGCGUGAGUGAAGAAGGCCUUCGGGUUGUAAAGCUCUCUCAGCCGGGAAGAAAAGACUGCGACUAAUAAUCGCAGUUCAUGACGGUACCGGAAGAAGAAGCACCGGCUAACUACGUGCCAGCAGCCGCGGUAAUACGUAGGGUGCGAGCGUUAAUCGGAAUUACUGGGCGUAAAGGGUGCGCAGGCGGUUUUGUAAGUCAGAUGUGAAAUCCCCGGGCUUAACCUGGGAACU